AACACUUUUUAAGUAGUAAGUAGAAAAAAAAAGAAAAAACAACGCAAAGAAAAUAAAACGGAAAAAAAAACAGAAGAAAAAA
rnacentral:sRNA from 1 species